AAUUGUUGUUUUCAAAUUCCAUGCGGAUGAAGCCGCACGGGCUAAUAAAUAAAAAAAUAAUAAAGUAAAUACCUACUGAUAAGGAAAGCAGAAAACGGUGAAACUUAAAGUUAGGUUACAUAAUAAAUUUAUCUUAGAUCUUAGCUCUUAAUGUAGAUAUAGGAGGAAUCUAACAAAAAGCUUAAACAAUGACGAGAAAUGUAAUAAAAAUAAAAGUAAUUGCGGUUAAUAAUUAUAAAUGGUAUAGAAAUAAUACAACAAUAUUACGAAGUAGGGAGGCGCGGCGAGACGCGGUGCGGCGGCGGGGGCGCCGUGGGAGCCUCCGGUAAGUUUUCUUUUUGUCCGUGAGCUUUUAGCGCAAAAAGCUCUGCGGCGUCGCAGCGCAGUGACAGGCGUAGGCGCAGUGCUCGCGCGCCUCCCGACCGCGCGGCCGUAUAUAGUGUCCGCGCGCCGCCCGCCGCUCGCCGCCCAGUGCAGUGCUGUGCUGUGACAGUGCCCGUGGCCAUAUCCCAGUGAUUGGCAAGCGGGAGAUAGCUCAUAGUGCGUCGACCGUCGCCGGGUGCAGGUUCGACGCCCGCCGCCGCUUGCACCACCACGCCGCGCCGCCGACGGUUCAACGGUGGCGCACUGUAGCGGCAAGGGCAGGAAUUAUGCCAACCAAAGUAGUGUAAACUGCCGUCACAGCGCGCGCACUGCCGGCGGCAGACGCGGCCGUGCGCUCGUGUCAGCGAUGGCUCAACAUUUUUGAACGUUAACGCGCUCCGAAAAGUGUAGACGCUCUCCUCCCGCUCUACGCCAACUCACGAGACCCGUCGCCAUCAUAAGAUAUGCUCCUAGCCGGGUACUAGUUUAUUCUGGUGGAUAUCGGCGUGCGGCAAGCUCGAGACUUCUAAUGUGAAAGCAAGAGCUCCGCGUCCGAACUGCCGGACCACAUCACUCACACCUCAUUAAGCGGCGGCGCGGAGCGGACGCGCGGGGAGAGUUGUCUACACACGACACAACAGCAAACAUAAGCACUUUCGGAACCACCAAAGUUU